UGUUUGAUCUUGGGGCUGAAUAGGAACCAAGGUUCUGAGGCUUAGAUUAUGGUGCAAAAGAGGGGGAAAAAAUCUUAAGGGGAACUCUAUGAAGGCGGAAGUUUUAGCUUUGAUCUCCCUCAUUGAGUUUUGCUGCCGGGGUGUGUUUAUAUCUAUUUCUAUUUAUCUUUUUAGCUCUGAAAUUCCGUGCUGCUGUGUCUGCCUUUUGUAACACAACAGAAGGGAGUUUUGUCUAGUUCCGUGCAAGCGAUUUAAGUCACUUAAGACAAGAAGGCGGCGGAAGUGAAAGGUGUGCUCAACAGCAGAGGAAGCUUCACCUGUCAGCCUGAUAGGAGUCGCACCUCCCCGGAGAGCUGCGUGGGAAUGCUGGGCAGAAAGUCUAUGUUCACUUCAACGGAAAGUUGGCAGCAACAGCAGAAGACUGGAUAAGAUUCUGAGGAAAUUCCAGUCCAUCCCCUGGGACUGUGCAGUAGUGAUCACGGCUGGAGCAGCGACCAGAUCUGACUUUGCUCUCUGUGUCCACCAGACUGUUGUUCCUUCUGAUUUCUCAUUUCCAAACAAUUUUUUCCCAAUCCCCAAAGCCUAGCUGUGGAGGUUUGAAUAUGCAUGGCCCAGGGAAUGGCACUAUUAGGAGAUAUGGCCUGGUUGGAAGAAGUGUGUCACUCACUGCAUGGUGGGUUUUGAGACCCUUUUCCUAACUGCCUGGAAGAGUCAGUCUUUUUCUGCUUCCCUUUGGAACAAGUUAUAGAACUCUCAGCUCUUUAUCCAGUGUUAUGCCUGCCUGGAUGCUGCCAUCUUCCCGCAUUGAUGAUAAUGGACUGAACCUCUGAAACUGUAAGCCAGCCCCAAUUGUCCUUUAUAAGAGUUGCCUUCAUCAUGGUCUUUCUUCACAGCAAUGGAAACCCUAACUAAGACACUAACUCAGCACUGACUUUUCCCCAAGACUCAUCCCCACAAUUAUUCUACAUCAGCCCAACAUCUACACAGUCUGCUUAUGAGAUGUCAACAAUACAGUGUUAGUACCAGUGGAGUUUUGUUUAUCUCAUUUACACAUAAUGACAACCUCAAGUAUUAUUAUGUCCCAGUUUAUAAUGAGGUAGUCAAUUCAGAGAAAUAGCUUGCCCUAGAUAAGUUACUUAGAAAAAUUAGAGGGAGAAUUGGAAUCCUUCUUCUGACACCAAAGCAUUUGUCUCAACUAGCCUGCUCUACCAGAUCCACUCAGUAUGUGUUCUUCAAAUGUCUUAGUAUUUGGUUUCCUUAUCUAACAAAGCUCACCCAACAGGCAUAGGUAGUCUGAGAGAAUAUUCUAAUGGAUUUUUAUGAUCAGGCUCACAUUAUAUGGAGUGCUAAGUGUCACAUUUCUUUUCAGAAUGAUCGUUUAAGGAACACUGCUUAUGACUGUGCUCCAGUGGCUGGUGUUUCUGUACACAGGCAAGGCUUGGCAUAUCACUGGAAGCAGGAAGCAUUUUUUCCCUAGUAGUCCAUCACUUAUGUUUUCCAUUUAUGUCUACGGGACAGAUUUACUCCUCAAGAGUAAAGAGAUGGUUAUCCAUCAACAUCUAUCUAAGGUGUGUUUUGUGCAGACCCCAUGAGACUUGGUUUUAGAAGAGCCACAGAUGAAGACACUAAUGAGGGAGGUCUUGGACAUGAGGCAUCAGGCCGGAGUUGUCCAAACGUGAGCUAGAGAGCCAUGUGCUUUGGUAGUGCUGACCCUUAAGGUAGACUUUAAGCCAGCUUUCAUGCUGAAUGUAAGGUCUCAUAGCAAGUAUAGCUAGCCUGGGAAAUGUGCACUGUAGUAAUGGCUUUAGCAGGAAAGAUGCUGAUGUAGGUGCUUGGGUCAGUAUAGCUGCCUAGACAGUGGCUGAGAACAAAUAGAAACACACUCAUUGAUUUGUAUAUUUAUUCAUGGGUACCACAAAUAUUUAUGGAGUAUGGAUAUUCACCUUCAGGGCACACUUAUAUAACAAACAGAUGGGGGCUGGAGGGAUGGCUCAGAAGGUGCAUACAUGGCUGCUCUUGUAGAGCAUCUGGGUUUGAUUCCCAGCACCCAGCUGGCAGCUCACAAGUGUCUAUAACUCCAGUUCCAGUUUAUCUGAUGCCCUCUUCUGGCCUCCCCAGGCACUGCAUGCACUCAGUGCACAUACAUACUUGUAGGCAAAACACUCAUACACGGAAAACACAUUUAUCUAUCUAUCUAUCUAUCUAUCUAUCUAUCUAUCUAUCUAUCUAUCUAUCUAUUUUCAAGGCAGGUAGAGCCUGUGUCUGACAGAAUUUGAGAGGGAGUCAGAUAUGAAAACACCCAUAACAGAAGAGGUAGUGUAAUUAGAGUUGUGAUCAAUGCCGUAAAAAAUGAAGUACAUGAUGUUAAGUUCCACUGUUAGGCAGAGUGUAAUCACUCUGAGCCACAGCAGUCAUCCAAUAUGAGAUUCUAUGUGCAAUGGCCUCUGUGCCUGCUGUUCAUUUAGACCAAGCUAAAGCAAGUACUUUCUGGACGUUCAAAUCUUUAAGCAACAAUCCUAAUAAUUGUAGAGAUAUAUCACCCUUGCCUGCUCUGAGGAAGUGGGACCUGCUGAUGAGAACAUGUUCCUGGAACCAGAGGGGUUGGCCUGCAGUUCCUGUCAUUGAAGGUUCUGGAAGUGUGACCCUGGGCAAGGUUCUUAAAUUUCAAGAGAUGUUAAACGCUUUGUGAUGUGGGUCUUCAUUUGCCAGUGGGAGAAAUAUUUCCUGAAUUGCCUGCUUUAUAGGGCUCGGGAGUGGGUACAGAAUGAGUUUUAUAUUCUAUGAGAAGCAGGAGACAUUUAGGAGAAGAUAUAUACUCCUCCCGCAUGCCCUGAGCUUAAUGAGCCCAGCACCUCUAGUCCAGUGCCCAUGAGGCCCAGAAAGUGUUGGGUCUGGGAAGGCUCCCGUGAACAGCUUCAGAGACAUGACAAUGCCACAAAGAAGGAGGAAAUGCCUCACUGGACAUUCCACAGGGGAGGCAUAUGUGUCAGCAGAUGGUCAGAGGGAGGAACCCACGGAAGACUACUGGUGUGCUUGACUGGUUGGAUCUUCAGUGUGGGGCACGAGAUCUUGGCCACAUGGUCUUUGCCUAUUUUUCUUUUAUGUUUGCAGUUUAGCCUAAUUUUACUUAGAGCAUGUAGACCAUGAAUUCAGUUACUUAUAAUGAAUGGGUGUUUAUCUGUCACAAACAGGAGGGUCUCAGUUGUCUACGUAUAAAAUAAGAUGAGAUCAUA